rnacentral:rRNA from 1 species
AGGAUGAACGCUGGCGGCGUGCUUAACACAUGCAAGUCGAACGAUGAAGGUUGGAGCUUGCUCUGGCUGGAUUAGUGGCGAACGGGUGAGUAACACGUGAGUAACCUGCCCCAGACUCUGGGAUAAGCGCUGGAAACGGCGUCUAAUACCGGAUACGAGCUUCCACCGCAUGGUGAGGAGCUGGAAAGAUUUCGGUCUGGGAUGGACUCGCGGCCUAUCAGCUUGUUGGUGAGGUAAUGGCUCACCAAGGCGACGACGGGUAGCCGGCCUGAGAGGGUGACCGGCCGCACUGGGACUGAGACACGGCCCAGACUCCUACGGGAGGCAGCAGUGGGGAAUAUUGCACAAUGGGCGCAAGCCUGAUGCAGCAACGCCGCGUGAGGACGAAGGCCUUCGGUUGUAACCUCUUUAGUAGGAAGAAGCGAGUGUUAGUUCACUUCAUGACGGUACCUGACAAGAAAACGCAACCGGCUAACUACGU